rnacentral:rRNA from 1 species
CCUACGGGAGGCAGCAGUGAGGAAUAUUGGUCAAUGGGCGCAAGCCUGAACCAGCGACGCCGCGUGGGGGAUGAAGGGGCUUUGCCUCGUAAACCUCUGUCGGAUGGGACGAAAGGUGGCUUUGAGCCACUGGGACGGUACCAUCAAAGGAAGGAUCGGCUAACUACGUGCCAGCAGCCGCGGUAAUACGUAGGAUCCGAGCGUUGUCCGGAGUUACUGGGUGUAAAGGGUGCGUAGGCUGUCCUGUGCGUCAGAGGUGAAAUCCACGGGCUUAACUCGUGGGGUGCCUUUGAUACGGCAGGGCUUGAGUACGAGAGAGGUGCGUGGAAUUCCUGGUGUAGCAGUGAAAUGCGUAGAUAUCAGGAGGAACACCGGUGGCGAAGGCGGCGCACUGGCUCGUAACUGACGCUGAGGCACGAAAGCGUGGGGAUCAAACAGGAUUAGAUACCCUGGUAGUCCACGCCUUAAACGAUGCAUGCUUGGUGUUGGUCUCGCAAGAGAUCAGUGCCGUAGUUAACAUGAUAAGCAUGCCACCUGGGGAGUACGAUCGCAAGGUUGAAACUCAAAUGAAUUGACGG